CACGUAGGGCGCAAGCGUUGUCCGGAAUUAUUGGGCGUAAAGAGCUCGUAGGCGGUUUGUCGCGUCUGCCGUGAAAGUCCGGGCUCAACUCCGGAUCUGCGGUGGGUACGGGCAGACUAGAGUGAUGUAGGGAGACUGGAAUUCCUGGUGUAGCGGUGAAAUGCGCAGAUAUCAGGAGGAACACCGAUGGCGAAGGCAGGUCUCUGGGCAUUAACUGACGCUGAGGAGCGAAAGCAUGGGAGCGAACAGG
rnacentral:rRNA from 1 species